rnacentral:rRNA from 1 species
AUGGCGGAGAAAGAACAUGGUGCUAGUGAGGAAAUGCAGCAGGAAUCAGUCGAGCAUGAUGUGGCGGAGCUUGAGGCGCAAAGCCCAUGCAACCAACAUGAUUCAGUGGGGAAUAUGAAGGAAGGAGAUCACGCCGAUGACAGCAACAGAAAGAUAGCAAAGUUCUCUGACUGGAUAGAUCAGAAACCAAAGGAGAAGUGGUCACUGGCAUAUGACAGCGAUGGAGCAAGGUAUGGCAUCAUGGGCAGUGAUAUAGCUGAUGUAUAUAAGAACGACCAUGUAUUGAAAGGGAUAGCAUGCCUUCCGCUCAGUGCGAUAGUGGAGGUGACAUUCCUGCGCUUGGUAAAGUACUUUGAAAACACAAGUGCUGCAGCAAACAAAGCAAUCGGCAACCCAGCAAUUAACUUCCCGGAACGUGUCCAGGUUGACAUGAAUUCGAAAAUGCAGAAAUCCGAGACGCACAGACUUAUGUACACGUAUGCCGAUGAAAAAAAUUAUCUCGGUAAGGUUGUGGAUCGAAAAUUUACAGUUAAGGGAAGGAAGAGGGAGGUGACUGUUCACCUGAAGACGGACUAUACCCUCAGCAUGAAUAAGUCUGAAGGAUCCACAAUUCGAAAAACUGCCACCUGUUCAUGCAGCAAGCCGCAGGUACUUCACAAGCCCUGCUCUCAUGUUAUUGCCGUCUGUUGUGAGAUUGGGGUUAGCACUGCUGCAUACAUGUCCCCAUACUACAGCCUGCCCUAUCUAGUUCGCACCUCGAGGCAAAAAUUCAGUAAGUUCUCACACGACUACAGAGAUACGGUACCACGCUACUUCAGAGAUACUGUACUAUUUGGAGGCCAAGCACCAAUUUGGAUCCCAGACAAAAGACUGGAGUGUGGCCUUCCUGUUUGUCUACUGCCGGACUGCAUGCAAACUGCCGUGAUCGAGGAAGAACAAUAG